UCUUCUUCUCUCUCGUACCGAGACCAGUCGCACCGAGGAGCAGCUCCGCUCAUUUUGUCCACUUUCACCUCUGGCAACGGCAAUCGCUUAACGAAACAAAGAGCAGGAGCUCCUAGAUACUUACAAAACCAGUGGGAUUAUAUUUUCUUUUAGAUAAAACAGGCAUUUUUCAAUAUUUUUACGACUUCCUCAACGCUACGCGAGGAGGCCUGCCAAACAAGAUAAGCCUGAGCCUGUGCUACAGUGCUAAAGGUAAUUAGCAGAAGAUGCCUCCCUUCUCUACGGAAGAUUACCACAAACUCGUACAGAAGAUUUUACUGCUGGAAACAAAAGUUAAUCGGUUAGAGGUAAAUGUAGAAGUAAAUGGACCAUGUGGGAACAACACCACUCUAGCAAUGACUCAAAACAGUGGACAAGAGCAUGCUAGAACCCAGCUAACUAGCAAUGAUGGAACUAUGAAGAAACUGGAGGACUCUGUACAGGGUAAUAAAUCUACCAGCGACAAUCCUCCCUGGACCACACUUGGUGCAAAGCCAAAGAGAAGACCAGACAAGGGAGAACGGAUAACUGGCAGGACCCAGCGGCCCGAUAUCUGUGAUCUGGCCGACUGGCCUGCGUUACCAUCCAGGCAUAACGCCUCCUCAACCCCCGUUCUUCGUAGAACAAAGCAGCGGACAACUGAGAAGAGGGGAACUACCAAGGAACCUCCCCAGCAAACAGGUGUAAAUCUACAAAACAGGUUUGCUCCACUGUUGCAGGACCAUGGAUCCCCCUCUAAAUUUCUGGAUAACCCUCCACCACCACGCAGCAGGGUAAGACCUGCUAACUUAAAGCCACAGAGAAAGCUAACGACAGGGCCUGAAAAUCUGAUUGUGGGUGAUUUUUCUGUAAAAGAUAUGAAAAGUAGUAACGACACCAAAGUACUCUGCUUCCCGGAGGAUAUGGUGUCUGACUUGGAAGAAAGAAUUUUGGAAAUUGUGGCUGAACACCCAACUGUGAAAAACUUAAUUCUGCACAUUGGCUCUAAUGACAUUGAAAAACAACAAUCAGAAAAGUUGAAAGAGCACUUAAUCUCCUAGAAACAGUCAGCUCUGUGAAUGCUGAGGUGUUUAUCAGUGGUCCUCUGCCCCCGACCGGGAGAGGAGCUGAGAGAUUCAGUAGACUGUUUUGGCUCAACAAAUGGCUCUUAACUGCAUGUGCAGUUCGUUCAAUGCAUUCUAUCAACAAUUUUAGCUUUUUCUGGGACCGCAGGCAUCUUUUUAAGACAAAUGGACUUUGCCUGAAUGAGAUGGGAGCAAAGCUUGUCAUUACCAACAUGUUUUACAUCAUGCGUCAUCCAUCUGUCCCCACUGCCAAGGACACGAGACCAGAAGAGGAGCCCACAAAGAAGGAAGAGAAAACACAGCUUAUCAGAAACGGCGAAGGAGGACCGCCAUUGCCAUCCCCCUCUAACCCUCCUUCCAUUACGUUAUGAGCCACGGGUCACAAGGGAGAAUUCACGGGGAAAUUUAGCCGCCGCCUGGGGGAGUUUCCAUUGCAUCGGAGGCGGAGUAAACCUGAAGGGUCUGAUUUGCAAGUGAGGGCUUGUAGUCUCGAUCAGUACAAGUAGGCUGUACAAAGUCUUUGUACAGUUGUGUAGACUUUGUUUACAGCUUUGCUCCGGCUUUCUUUCUCUACAGCAACACAGGCUAUGAGCCGGCCUGUGACAUCAUAUUCAUCUGAUCACUAUGACGUUUCUGGAGCUGAGGGACUCCAACAGUCGCUUCAGGUUUUCUCAGUCCUGCGUGGGUUUGGCCGGUUGCCUGUGUGUCUGCUACGCGGUCUGGACACUCAUUCUGGCUGAAGGACCGGGGUCUCUGGACAGCGGGGAAUAACACCAAAAGUGACCAGACAAGCAGUAGAGAUGGUAUUCUCUUCAACGUGCUGGAAGCAGAGAGAGUAUUUGGAGUUCUUUCCUUCCUCAUGGCGUCAGUACUGGUGCUUUGUGUCUGGUGUUCGCCCUCUGCUGGAGAUCUGAGACGGUGCACUCCUACUCCAACACGCGCUCCCUCCUCAUGGCAGAACAGGCCCUCUACCCCUCAACGCUCCUGUUGCUCACAUUGGCCUCCACAGGAUUCUGUUUCCUCCUCAGCUGGUCUCUCUUUACCCAUCAGCACCGGGAAGAAAGACUUUUCCAGCCUCGGCUCCUCCUAUUGGCUCGGAGCUUUAGGCUGGGUCCUGCUGUUAGUCCUGGAGACGAUAAUCUUUGUAGCCGAGCAAGCUGUCGUGCCUGACAUCCUGCCGGACUUGGAGAGGGCCGUGGAGUCCGUUCGGAUUUCCCAUCCAACGAAGGCCGCACUACGCUCCUGCAGCGAUGGCUAUUACCCUUGUAACAGCAAAAGAAACAUGGCUCCCAAGAGCCUCGGUUAGAGUGCAAGGACGUGACUGGGGAAACGGUUGGGAAUGUGUUAGCAACACAUUAAAGCACACAGACUCAAUGAGGGAAACCAGCAAUUACUCGCCGCUCCGUACAAGCAGAGUGAAUAUGGAUGAACUGUGGACAGAGUUACGUUUUCGCCAGAGGAAUCACGUCUUCAGUGGGACUGAAGCGUCCAGUGUCCGAAAGAGCCGGUGGUCAUUCUCCAGUUUGUCACCGGUACCGACCGACUUUUACGUCAAACAUACUAAAAACACUAAGGAUGAAAUGCUCGAGGGCAACUGUUUUCUAAUAAAGUCAAUGUGAUUGAUUUCUUGAAGCUUUCUCAGAGUUUCGGAUCCAGUUGUGGAGGCUUUUCAGUUGAAUCAUGGUAAAACACACUCACUAAAAUGCCAACUCAUACUAAAUUUCAGCGGUUGCUGUAAUAUAGUUGUUGAAUGUUAAAACAGAGCCGUAUUGUGGACAUUGAAAUUAUCGUGAGUUGCACAUUGGGGGAAAAAAAGCAUUGCGUGGCCGUACCAGUCAAUCAAUCAAUGAUCCUCUUUUAUUACCACUUUGUUGUCAUAUGACACAAUAUAGCAAGCUCAACAAGUCUUUGAGCAAGACAAGACUUUGACUGCGCUGGCCGUGCGCUUUCUACACCGUUUCACAGCUAAAGUCAAAAGGUCCGUCUGCCCAUGAGGUGGUAUCAGAGAGCAGGAGUAACGGGUGCUCAGUCUGAGCGUGAUGUUUAACCGCGUACCUGCCAGCAGGAGGUGCACAUGCAGUGCGUGUGCGUUUCCGCCGUGCAGUCCCCAGCUCUGCUCCUUGUUUUGACCAGCCGACGGCCUCCAGAGCCGUUAUUUACUUUUCCUGUCACACCUUCCCUGGAGGAGAGGAAGCACUCCGAUGCUGGACUGCUUGUGUUGAUGUUCUUAACCUGCGAAAGUGGGGGAGAAUUAAGCGGCUCUGGUCCGUUAAUUGGGCGUUAAUCAGGUGUUGCUCUAAUUAAAAGGCAGUUCCGCCGAGCUGGGCCUUGGUAAUGAGUUUGUCAUUAAAUCCACGGUGGAUUUUUGCCUCUUUUUUUAAUUUACAGACAGGAUAGUGCUUAAUUGCGGUGUAAAUGAGGGGAAUGUCCUUGAAGGUCGCCUUGCCUCAGCGCAUCCAUGUGGAGAAUUGUUCCAAAGAGCUUCCCCCACCCAAACCUACAACAACUUACUACAAAUUCAUUCAAUUCACUGUGUUGACCUCCCGUUUCCAGCUGCGCCUCUCAGUGGCAACUUCACUAAAAAGGAGCUCCACCAUUUGCUAAAUUGAGGGAGCAGUCACACUCCUUACUUUUCAAAAUGUAAUUUGUAAUGAGUAAUUUCUGAAUUGAUUUCCCUUCCCCCGGUAGCGACUGUCUCGGCUAAAACAAGCAUACGUUCUU